GGCUUUUCUGGUCAAAACGUAUCUUGUCUUUAUCACUUUAUCAUGAGUUAUUUUCCUUGGUUAACAAUACUUGUUGAUUUGCCGAUAUUUGCAGGUUCAUUAAUUUUCUUUUUACCUCAUAAGGGAAACAAAGUCGUUAGGUGGUAUACUAUAUCUAUUUGUUUAUUAGAAUUCCUUCUAAUGACUUAUGCGUUCUGUUAUCAUUUCCAACUGGAGGAUCCCUUAAUCCAAUUAAAGGAGGAUUAUAAAUGGAUAGAUGUCUUCGAUUUCCACUGGAGAUUGGGAAUCGAUGGACUUUCAUUAGGAUCUAUUUUAUUGACAGGAUUUAUCACUACUUUAGCUACUUUAGCAGCUUGGCCAAUUACACGGAAUUCGCGAUUAUUCUAUUUCCUGAUGCUCGCAAUGUAUAGUGGUCAAAUAGGAUUAUUUUCUUCGCGAGACCUUUUACUUUUUUUUAUCAUGUGGGAGUUAGAAUUAAUUCCUGUUUACUUACUUUUAUCCAUGUGGGGGGGGAAGAGGCGUCUAUAUUCAGCUACAAAGUUUAUUUUGUAUACUGCAGGCGGUUCCAUUUUUUUCUUAAUCGGAGUUCUGGGUAUGGGCUUAUAUGGUUCCAACGAACCAGGAUUAGAUUUGGAAAGAUUUAUUAAUCAAUCAUACCCUGCAACCUUGGAAAUACUUUUAUAUUUUGGCUUCCUUAUUGCUUAUGCUGUCAAAUUGCCGAUUAUACCCCUACAUACGUGGUUACCAGAUACCCAUGGGGAAGCACAUUAUAGUACAUGUAUGCUUUUAGCGGGAAUAUUAUUAAAGAUGGGAGCAUAUGGAUUGAUUCGGAUCAACAUGGAAUUGUUACCUCAUGCUCAUUAUCUAUUUUCGCCCUGGUUAGUAAUAAUAGGAGCGAUCCAAAUAAUCUAUGCAGCUUCAACUUCUCUUGGUCAACGAAAUUUCAAAAAAAGAAUAGCUUAUUCCUCUGUAUCUCACAUGGGUUUCAUAAUUAUAGGAAUUGGUUCCAUAACCAACAUUGGACUCAAUGGAGCUAUUUUACAAAUAUUAUCCCAUGGAUUUAUUGGUGCUACACUUUUUUUCUUGGCAGGAACCGCUUCUGAUAGAAUGCGUCUUGUUUAUCUCGAAGAACUGGGGGGAAUAUCCAUCCCAAUGCCUAAAAUUUUUACCAUGUUUAGUAGCUUUUCAAUGGCUUCUCUUGCCUUACCAGGAAUGAGUGGUUUUGUCGCAGAAUUAGUAGUAUUUUUUGGACUAAUUACUAGUCCAAAAUUUCUGUUAAUGCCAAAAACACUAAUUACUUUUGUAAUGGCAAUUGGAAUGAUAUUAACUCCUAUUUAUUUAUUAUCUAUGUUACACCAGAUGUUCUAUGGAUACAAGCUAUUUAAUGUUCCAAACGCAAAUUUUGUGGAUUCUGGACCAUGA
rnacentral:rRNA from 1 species